AACAGGAUUAGAUACCCUGGUAGUCCACGCCGUAAACGAUGAGUGCUAGGUGUUGGGGGUUUCCGCCCUCUGUGCCGAAGGUAACCCAAUAAGCACUCCGCCUGGGGAGUACGGCCGCAAGGCUGAAACUCAAAGGAAUUGACGGGGGCCCGCACAAGCGGUGGAGCAUGUGGUUUAAUUCGAAGCAACGCGAAGAACCUUACCAGGGCUUGACAUCCCGCUGACCGGUGUAGAGGUACACCUUCCCUUCGGGGCAGCGGUGACAGGUGGUGCAUGGUUGUCGUCAGCUCGUGUCGUGAGAUGUUGGGUUCAGUCCCGCAACGAGCGCAACCCUUGUCGUCAGUUGCCAGCACAUGAUGGUGGGCACUCUGGCGAGACAGCCGGUGAAAGCCGGAGGAAGGUGGGGAUGACGUCAAAUCAUCAUGCCCCUUAUGUCCUGGGCUACACACGUGCUACAAUGGCCGGUACAACGGGCAGCGAACCCGUGAGGGGGAGCCAAUCCCAAAAAACCGGUCUCAGUUCGGAUCGCAGGCUGCAACUCGCCUGCGUGAAGCUGGAAUCGCUAGUAAUCGCGGAUCAGCAUGCCGCGGUGAAUCCGUUCCCGGGCCUUGUACACACCGCCCGUCACACCACGAGAGUCUGCAACACCCGAAGUCGGUGAGGUAACCUUCGGGAACCAGCCGCCGAAGGUGGGGCAGAUGAUUGGGGUGAAGUCGUAACAAGGUAACC
rnacentral:rRNA from 1 species